rnacentral:tRNA from 1 species
GGCAGGAUGGCGGAAUUGGCAGACGCAUCGAGUUUAAGCCUCGACGGAUAUAUCCAUGAGAGUUCGACCCUCUCUCUUGCCACCA